rnacentral:tRNA from 1 species
AAUCUUAUAGUUAAAUUAUAACAUUAAAUUGCAACUUUAAAAUUGAAUUAUAUCUAAGAUUU